CCCCAGGUGGUCUAGUGGUACGAUACUCAUCUUUCAUUCUGAGUUGACAUGGGUGACCGGGGUUCGAUUCCUCGUCUGGGAC